AAGUCGGAUGUGAAAUCCCCGGGCUCAACCUGGGAACUGCAUUCGAAACUGGCAGGCUAGAGUCUUGUAGAGGGGGGUAGAAUUCCAGGUGUAGCGGUGAAAUGCGUAGAGAUCUGGAGGAAUACCGGUGGCGAAGGCGGCCCCCUGGACAAAGACUGACGCUCAGGUGCGAAAGCGUGGGGAGCAAACAGGAUUAGAUACCCUGGUAGUCCACGCCGUAAACGAUGUCGAUUUGGAGGUUGUGCCCUUGAGGCGUGGCUUCCGGAGCUAACGCGUUAAAUCGACCGCCUGGGGA
rnacentral:rRNA from 1 species